rnacentral:rRNA from 1 species
GAUUCCCUGAGUAGCGGCGAGCGAAACGGGAAGAGCCCAAACCAACAAGCUUGCUUGUUGGGGUUGUAGGACUCCGAUAUGGUAGUCUGUUAGUAUAGUUGAAGGAUUUGGAAAAUUCCGCUAAAGAGGGUGAAAGCCCCGUAGACGAAAUGCUGACAACACCUAGGAGGAUCCUGAGUACGGCGGAACACGAGAAAUUCCGUCGGAAUCCGCGGGGACCAUCCCGCAAGGC